UCAAUUUAAUUUGAAUAAAAAUAAUUAUUUAUAUUAAAUUAUUUAUUUACUAUAUUAAAAAAAAUAAUUUUUUAUUUUUUUAUUUUAUUAAGAUAUAAUUAUUAAAAAGUGAUAGAGUAUAAGUAAAGUGAUUGGACAUUGAAAUAGUUUGAAAUAAUAAAAUAUUUAAAAGAAAAUUUUAUUUAUUGUACCUUGUGUAUCAGGGUUUAUUAAAUAAUAAUAAUUUAUUUUUAUUUUCUCGAAUUUAAAAGAGCUAAAAGAUUAUAAAUUUUAUUGUAGCAUAAAUAUUUAAAAUAAUUUUUUAGUAAUGAAACGUAAUUUAGUUAAUUAUUAUAAUUAAUAUAAUUUUAUAUUUAAAUUAAUAUAAUUAAUUAAUAUUUUAGGGGAUAAGCUUUAAAAUAAAUUUUUAAAAAUUUUAGAUUAGAUUUAAAAGUAAAUAGGAUUGGCAGUUUUUUUUAUUAUAAGUGUGUUAUAACAAACUUUUAUUUUAAGAUUUAAUUUAUAUAUAAUUUUAAAUUUUUUAUUAAAUUUAUUUAUUUAAUAUUAUAAUUUAUGUAAUAAUGAUAAAAUUAGUAUAGUGAAAUGUAAAUUUAAUUUAUUUUUUUAGGUUAAAUUAAGGAACUCGGCAAAUUAUUUUUCCGCCUGUUUAUUAAAAACAUGUCUUUAUGAUUAUAAUUUAAAGUCUGACCUGCCCUAUGAAUUAUUUUAAAUGGCUGCGGUACUCUGACCGUGCAAAGGUAGCAUAAUAAUUAGUUUUUUAAUUGGGAACUGGUAUGAAAGGUCGAACGAGAAAAAGACUGUCUCAAUUUAAAUUUAGUUAGAAUUUUAUUUUUAAGUAAAAAAGCUUAAAUAAUCUUAAAAGACGAGAAGACCCUAUAGAGUUUUAUAUCCGUUAUUAUAACUAAAAGUUAAAGUAUUAUAGAUUUAGUAUUAUAAUAAUUUAUAUUUGGUUGGGGCAAUCAAGAAAUUUAAUAAAUUUUUUUUUAAUUGUUUAACAUUGAUAUAUGAUUAAGUGAUCCAUAUUAUUAUGAUUAAAAGAUUAAAUUACCUUAGGGAUAACAGCGUAAUUUUUUUUUAGAGUUCUUAUCGAAAAAAAAGUUUGCGACCUCGAUGUUGGAUUAAAAUUAACUUUUGGUGGAGAAACUUAAAGGUUAGGUCUGUUCGACCUUUAAAAUUUUACAUGAUCUGAGUUUAAACCGGCGUGAGCCAGGUUGGUUUCUAUCUUUAAAAAAAAAUAGAUAUCUUAGUACGAAAGGAUCAGAUAUUUAUAAAAAUUAUUAAAUAAGAAUUAUAUUAAUAUAUUAAAAUUACUUUGGCAGAUUAGUGCUUUAAAUUUAGAAUUUAAAUAUAUAUUAAUUUUUAAUAUAA
rnacentral:rRNA from 1 species